rnacentral:rRNA from 1 species
UACGUAGGGGGCAAGCGUUGUCCGGAUUUAUUGGGCGUAAAGAGCUCGUAGGUGGUUCGGUAAGUCGGAUGUGAAAUCUCCAGGCUCAACCUGGAGGGGUCAUUCGAUACUGCCGUGACUAGAGGUCGGUAGGGGAGUGUGGAAUUCCUGGUGGAGCGGUGAGAUGCGCAGAUAUCAGGAGGAACACCCGUAGCGAAGGCGGCACUCUGGGCCGAUACUGACACUGAGGAGCGAAAGCGUGGGGAGCGAACAGG